GACGAACGCUGGCGGCGUGCUUAACACAUGCAAGUCGAACGGAAAGGCCCUGCUUUUGUGGGGUGCUCGAGUGGCGAACGGGUGAGUAACACGUGAGUAACCUGCCCUUGACUUUGGGAUAACUUCAGGAAACUGGGGCUAAUACCGGAUAGGAGCUCCUGCUGCAUGGUGGGGGUUGGAAAGUUUCGGCGGUUGGGGAUGGACUCGCGGCUUAUCCGCUUGUUGGUGGGGUAGUGGCUUACCAAGGCUUUGACGGGUAGCCGGCCUGAGAGGGUGACCGGCCACAUUGGGACUGAGAUACGGCCCAGACUCCUACGGGAGGCAGCAGUGGGGAAUAUGGCACAAUGGGCGGAAGCCUGAUGCAGCAACGCCGCGUGCGGGAUGACGGCCUUCGGGUUGUAAACCGCUUUCGCCUGUGACGAAGCGUGAGUGACGGUAAUGGGUAAAGAAGCACCGGCUAACUACGUG
rnacentral:rRNA from 1 species